UAGGGAAUCUUCCGCAAUGGGCGAAAGCCUGACGGAGCAACGCCGCGUGAGUGAUGAAGGUCUUCGGAUCGUAAAACUCUGUUAUUAGGGAAGAACAAAUGUGUAAGUAACUAUGCACGUCUUGACGGUACCUAAUCAGAAAGCCACGGCUAACUACGUGCCAGCAGCCGCGGUAAUACGUAGGUGGCAAGCGUUAUCCGGAAUUAUUGGGCGUAAAGCGCGCGUAGGCGGUUUUUUAAGUCUGAUGUGAAAGCCCACGGCUCAACCGGGGAGGGUCAUUGGAAACUGGAAAACUUGAGUGCAGAAGAGGAAAGUGGAAUUCAAUGUGUAGCGGUGAAAUGCGCAGAGAUAUGGAGGAACACCAGUGGCGAAGGCGACUUUCUGGUCUGUAACUGACGCUGAUGUGCGAAAGCGUGGGGAUCAAACAGG
rnacentral:rRNA from 1 species